rnacentral:misc_RNA from 1 species
AAGUUGUUAACUUUGAAAGAUAAAAUUAAGACAGAACAGAGUAAGCAGUGGAUCAACUUUCCAGAUAGAGAGAAGCAUAUAUUGUAGAAGCAGAUGACUUUUUUUUUUUGGUAUGACAACAUUUUAGCUAGCUCUGCCGUUAUAAUUAACACAGACAAUACUGGUAGAAUAUAAAGAUGCACAUAUAGUUUGCUAGUAAUACAUUUACAUUAUAAAAAUGAACAUUGUCCCAAAAAAAUGACAGAUGUUAAAAUUAUAUUAUAGGCACCAAAAAGGGGAAAAGGUUAUACAUGUGUUGGAGGGAAAAAGCAAGCCAACCAAGCUGCCCUUUCAUUUCAAGACAAAAUUAUCUAUGACCAUUUCUUCAUUAUACGUUCAGAUAACCUGCAUUCUUCCUCCUUGGAAACAUGUGGAUCAAGCUCAUGAAGGCUGCUAACAAACAUGCUUGCAUCUGCCCGACGAUUAUGUUUACAGUACCCAUCUACAAUUGAGUUGUAUGUAUUCUGGUUUCGCUUACAGCCAUUCUUGAUCAUGUAUUUAACAACAUCAAUAGCCUCCUCAAACAUAGAAUCAGCUGCAUAACUUGCAACAAAUGUAUUAUAUGUAAUGACGUCUGGAACAAGCCCAGAAUCCCUCAUUUCUGAGAAUAUCCGUGAAGCCUCUUUCAUCCGACCAUUUCGACAAUAUGCAAAAAUAACAGUAUUGAAUGAUAUUAUAUCAGGCUUUAAUCCUUUGGCAAUGAUGUCCUUUAAAAUUUCUUCUGAUUUCUGAAAAUUUUCUGAGCGGCUGUACAUAUACAUCAAACUAUUGUAAGUUGCCAAGCUUGGACUGAAUCCACUCUCAGUCAUUAAGGUCAAAAUUUCAUUGGCUUUGGCAACCAUCUGCCUCCUGCCAUAUAUUGCAAUCAUGGCAUUAAGAGUACUUAAGUCAGGUGAGCCUUUUUUCCUCAAUUCCAUGAACGCAUGCUCUGUUUCCAUUAGGAGGUCACAUUUACUAUUAACUAAAACAAGGGUCUUCAACAGAACAGCAACAGGUUCAGUUACACCAGAGUAUAUCUCUUUAGCAAGAGCACGCAUUCGCUCAAUCUCCUUGCCAUUGGCAUAAGCAUGAAGCAAAGAACAGUAUGUGAGCUCAUUAGGCUUGCAACAAACAUCCUUCAUUUCGGUAAAUAUUUUCUCUGACUGUUCCCAAAGUCCUCCUCGAGCCAAUGCAGCCAAAACAGCAUUAUAGGAAGAAAGAUCUGGAGCAACCCCAGCCUCCAGCAUUCUUCUAUAUACAGCCAUGGCUUGUUCAAAAGAACCACACCGGCUGUAUGCACUGAUUAGUGUAUUGAAAGUGUCCCUCUCAGGCACAAACCCAGCCCUCUUCAUCUCUUUGAACACCCCAGACACUUCUGAGUCCAUCCCAUUUUGUCCAAACACAGCCAAAAGUGUAUUCCAUGUAACAAUAUCUGGCACACAAUUGCACCUUUUAAUCUCCUCAAAAACCUUCAUCAUUUCAGCAAACUUUGCCCUGUUACCAUGCAUCUUGAUUAAAGCAUUGAAAGUACAUAUAUUAGGCUUACAACCAGCCGCUCUCAUUUCCUCAAAAACCCUCAUUGCAGAUUCAUCCUUCCCAGCCUUCUCAAAUCCUGAUAAGAGCGUAGUAUAUGUGAAAACAUCUGGCUCAAUCCCUUUUUCCACCAUUUGGGCUUUAAGCUCCAUUGCUUCCCUCAAUAGAGAGUCUCUCACAUAAGCUGAUAUUAGUGAAUUGUAAGUCACAAUACUAGGAGAGAAUCCAUUACUUUCCAUUUCCCUUAACACCUCCAUAGCCUCCUUAGGCCGCCUAGACUUCCCAUAAACGUCCAAUAAAGCAUUAUAUGUGACCUUAUCAGGUGAAAAACCUGCCAAUUUCAUCUCCUCAAAAACUUGAGCAGCUUCUUCAUACAAAGACCCUCGUCUGCAACAACUUAUAAGAGUGUUAAAUGUGUAGUCAUCUAGAGCAAUCCCAGCACUCUUCAUUCCCUCAACAAGACCAGAAAUCUUACUCCAGGGCAUACCCAUUUUUCCAUACACAUUCAAAAUUACAUUAUAAGUUAUCAAAGUCGGUUUGCACCCCUCUUCCUCCAUCUUCCUAAACACCAAAACAGCAUCCCUGUACCUUCCAUUACUAGCGUAAGCAGUUAUCAACGAAGUAUAAGCAUAAACAUCAAGAUCGAGCCCAUCUAUACGCAGAUUAUUUAACAAAGAAGCCGCUGCUGAAACUUUACCCUGUUUACCCAGCAUACUAAUGAUCACAGCUACAACAGAACAAUUCAAAACCAAUUCACAAUCCUUUCUAUUCCGAACCCACUCAAACACACUCAUUGCCAAAUCACAUUUCUUGUAAAACCCUAAACCCUUAAUUAUACCUAAAAUAUCCAUAGACAAACUAUCAACAUUACCACUACUAGAGCUUGAUUCUUCCUGAUAGUACUCAAAUAAGUGACUCAAAAUUUUAUCUAACUCGGCGCUUUCAAAAGAGGGGUCAAUUAAAGAGUUAAGAACUUGCUGACCUAGAGGAGAAUGACGGUGGUGAGACCAGGGCUUGCCACGGUUGGGGUCACGGGCCUUGCCUAUGCGGGUUCGGGGUCUAGGUGAAUGAUUAGAUGGGGUCCUUGGAUUAAUGGGUUUUGGAGAAUUUGAGUGUUGGUUGUUGAGGAGUAAGUUCUGAAGAAGAGGAGUUAUAGGUGGGGGUGGAGAAGCUGGUAUCAUAGGCAGAUGGUGGAAGUGGGUUUGGAUAGGAAAUUGGGGUUUUGCUGGAGGUGGGUUUGAGAGAAGAAGCGAGGGAGCUACUUUCUCUGCCAUGGAGGGCAGGGCGAGUAAGAAAGUAAGGAUUGAGGAUUUUCAGUGAGUUUGGCUUUUCCUUAGAAGAUCUUUCUGUCUGGCCGC